rnacentral:lncRNA from 1 species
UCCUUUUCUUUUACAGCCAUCUCCCAAUGUGUCAAUAUCUUAUUGGCAAGGAAGCAUCCAGCCCCAGAGCUGGAAUGGAGACCCUGUUUCCAGCCCCGGUAUCGUGUGAUUAUGUUACAGCAAAAAAACCAUCUGAUCAAAUAACUCCUGAUUGAAAAGACAGGCUGUGACAGUCUGAUCUGAACACACCUUCAUUUCAGAAAUAACUAUCAGGUAUCUGCAAGUCAGCUGGAAUAAUGGCUGGGAGAAGUGGGGGAGGCAGCACGGCUCGGAGUGGGAUCAGGGAGCUUCUCCCGGCUCCGUCUCAGGCUGCUGAUGGUGUUUUGCUUUGCACAUCUCCAGCUUCCACCUCCCUGCUGCUGGGUGAACUCUUUUGCUUGAGGUCUCUCUGCCACGGUCACAGGACUGUGGACGUGCGGUAAGAGGCGUGGGGAGGUUGCGGCCCCGCUCCCUUCUCAAGUUGCAGCUGUUUCCGAAAGAUGCUGCGAACUCCGGGCCGGCUGCGAGCCAGCAAACAUCUCCCGUGUGUUCCCUGGGCUGGGCAGCGGCCACUCGCAUUCUGAAAUAAGGUCAGGACUCCGUCAGGCGCUGAAGAGCCCGGGCUGAGCCGAGGCUCUGUCUCCGGAAG